AGCUUUGUGCAGUGGCAGUAUCGUAGCCAAUGAGGUUUAUCCGAGGCGUGAUUAUUGCUAAUUGAAAACUUAUCCUUCCAAUUUUAGUAUAUGUGCUGCCGAAGCGAGCACAGUUUUUGUUG
rnacentral:snRNA from 1 species